GCAUGCUUUGAAUAUAGACUUAUUAUAUGUGAUUAACACCUAUGAUAUCAUUUUGCAAUUUACUUUUUCAAACAAGCAUUGUAACAUGUAUGUAAAAAACCAGUUAACAUAAUAACAUAAAUCAAGUUGGAUUUCAACUAAAUAAACCAUUAGUUACCAUCGGUAUAUAUAAUAAGAAAAGGUGAAUGGGGAAUGAGAAGACACGCAAGCAAUAUUAUCAUCCUAUUGAUAAUAAUA
rnacentral:lncRNA from 1 species